GAGUUGUAAGCCGAGGACCAGACUGUGAUAGUCAUGAGCCGAGGGCCAUCGCUGUGAUAGUGUGAGCCGAGGUAAGCUUGGUGCUACCUCUUUUCUUUUGUUUGUUAUUUUCUUUGAAUAAGAGGAUUGAGAGUUUCUGAAUAUUGUGAAGUGAAUUAUGGAAUGGAAAUGUGAUUGGUAUUAUUUGAGAAGAAGAAAGAUUGAAUGUUGAAAUCUGAUUGUAAUUCAGCAGAGAGAAUGAGUUUGUGUUUGUUUGAAAUACUGUAAUGUGAAUGGCAAUUUUGUGUGAAGAAUUCCAGUGAUUGGAACGAGGGUAAUUGUGUGCUGAAAGUUGUGAGGGCGUAGUAUUACAGUUGGAGAUUAUGAGGGUGAAU
rnacentral:lncRNA from 1 species